AGCUCCAAUAGCGUAUAUUAAUGUUGCUGCAGUUAAAAAGCUCGUAGUUGGAUUUCUGGUUUGAAUGAUAUGUCCCGCUCGAAAGAGUUGAGUGAUUUUUAUUUUUCUGCCAUCCUUCUUGUGAAUCCUGGCUGCCGAAAGGUUUGCCUUGUAUAAGCAAGAUCUUUUACUUUGAAAAAAUUGGAGUGUUUAAAGCAGGCUUACGCUUAUGAACAUACUAGCAUGGAAUAAUAAUAUAGGACUCUUGUUCUAUUUUGUUGGUUCUAGGAACUAGAGUAAUGAUUGAUAGGAACGGUUGGGGGUGCUUGUAUUCCGAGGUCAGAGGUGAAAUUCUUGGAUUCUCGGAAGACAAACUUAUGCGAAAGCAUUCACCAAGGACGUUUUCUUUAAUCAAGAACGA
rnacentral:rRNA from 1 species